rnacentral:rRNA from 1 species
UCGAUGAAGAACGCAGCGAAAAGCGAUAUGUAAUGUGMAUUGCAGAUCUACAGUGAAUCAUCGAAUCUUYGAACGCACCYUGCGCUCCUCGGUGUUCCGAGGAGCAUGCCUGUUUGAGUGUCAGUA